GAGGGGCACCCAAUGCGCGGAGCAGCGCGGAACGCAGCGCGGUAACGGCGGCUCUGGGAGCGCGCAUUGCUCCGCGGUGCCCCGGUGCCAGCGCGCAGCCCCGGCGAGAGGUUGGACUCGGCUCCGUCCGGACGUAGCUCAGUUCUUUUCCUGCGAGGAAACGCCUCUGAGUCGGGGUUAACCUUCAGCCUUACGCCGAGAGCCGGGAGCUCGAAGAUGCUCUCCCGGCUCUCAAACCCGAACAAAAAGGAGCUGCAGAGAAUCGCGGGUUUUGGCUCCCAACAAAGAGUUCCCGGUCACGGCAUCCCGGGGCGAAUUCUUAUCCCCGCGUCCGCUCCGAGUAUUGGAAUCGAUAGAACAUAUCACGGCUCCGAGUCCUCUCCCCCCACGCGGCGGCGGCUGUUGCUCGUCCCGCUCCGUCCCCACCUCACGCCGGGUGCCACAGCGGCGGUCCCCGCUCAGCACACGGCCGAUGGGGCUGCGGACACUUCUGGAAUCACGUGGAAAAAAAGCCCCCGAACGUCGGUAAAUAAAGGUGUAUGCACUGAACGCGUUCCCCGCAAUCUCACAGGCACCGGUGAACAAACUCAGCAAAUAUCUGAGGGUGUGACUACAACGUCGGAACGAACUGGCUUUUGGUUAUGGGUGAUUUAGAUAACGUACUCUUCCUUUUUUGCUUAACUAUCCUACGCGACCCGUCCCGUAACCUCAGAAUGUGCUGUGGGAUGUUUCUCUCUGCCCCCCCCUCCCUUUGCCGUGCCCCCACAGCUUUCCAGUCCGCACGCCUUUUGUUUUUCCUCUUUGUAAACGCGUAUUAAAAACCGCUGUGAGUGCGCGAGGUGGGGACGGGCAUCUGCGGGUCGGGGCGGCUGCGGUGCUUCUCCGCGACGUCUCCAUCUCCUUCGAGCAGUGCUCGGCAAUGGAAAACGGCAGUUGUGAAGCGCUGGGGGAAAUGACAAAUGGAUGCUCCGGCAGCGUCCGCAAAUGUCGAUCGCUCGUAUGCAGCAGCUGCGUGCGUGCGUGUAUCUAUCUGCGUGUAUAUAUACACACAUAUAUAUUUACUUAGGCGCAGUUUGCUGCUCUCCGGGCGGGACGGGACGCUGCAAGGAGCGGCGAGCGAAUCCCCUGGAGGUGAAAGAGAGGGCAGAGCGGGGGCACCGCCGCUCCCCGCACACCGAGCCCAAGGGGGUCCUGCGGGCACGGCUGCCCAGCCGAGAUGGGCCCUUCCUUCCCGAGGCCGGGAGGGACGCGGCGAUGCUCGGAGCUGCGGAGUGUGCGCGAAGCUCUUAGCGCUAUUGAUUCUAAACUUUCUUCGUGAAGACAAAUUUACCAUAUGUCGAUGUGUAAACACUUGGGCAUAAAAUUAAAACCAGCUCCGCGCGAUUGUCACCGCUCUGGAUUCUGACGCAAACGAUCAGAUGUCGGUGCACUUC
rnacentral:lncRNA from 1 species